CUCGCGGGUUCGAAUCUCUCCCUGCGAGAUCUCGAGCGCGUCGCUGCGUCUGCGGACUCAGUUUGCUCAGCUGCAAAGUGGGGGUGAGGACGGCGCUUCCCGCCCGGCGCUGCAGGGCGGAGUAAGCGAGGCGCAGCGGGUCCAACCGAAGUCGGGGCUCGGCCCCAGCCACGAGGAGAGGGUGCUGAGGAGAGAAGGUGCACCCCAUAACCAGCCGAGGCUCUCCGGCCCAUCCUGGCCCCCUGCACGGGGCAAGGAGCAGCAGGCUUUCAUCCACUGGAAAAUUUUCCUUAUGGAUAGUGUGAGG